CCCUUAGAUGUUCUGGGCCGCACGCGCGCUACACUGAUGCACUCAACGAGUCUAAAACCUGCUCUGAUAGGGGUGGGUAAUCUUUUGAAUGUGCAUCGUGAUUGGGAUAGAUGAUUGCAAUUUUUCAUCUUCAACGAGGAAUGCCUAGUAAACGCAAGUCAUCAACUUGCAUUGAUUACGUCCCUGCCCUUUGUACACACCGCCCGUCGCUCCUACCGAUUGAAUGAUCCGAUGAAUAUCAUGGAUUGAGGAUGCAAGCAGGUUCGCCUGUCUUCAUCUUCGAGAAGUGAAGUAAAUCUUAUCAUUUAGAGGAAGGAGAAGUCGUAACA
rnacentral:rRNA from 1 species